AACCGAAUCACCAACCACGUAGUAUCGGAGCAUUGUGUGUCUAAUACUGCCUGGUAAUGGUGAUUGGGUG
rnacentral:pre_miRNA from 10 species